GCUGGGCGUGGUGGCUCAUGCCUGUAAUCCUAGCACUUUGGGAGGCAGAGGCGGGAGGAUGACUUGAGCCCAGGAGUUUGAGACCAGCCUGGGCAACAUAGUGAGACCCUGUCUCUA
rnacentral:SRP_RNA from 1 species